CAACUUUCAACAACGGAUCUCUUGGCUCUCGCAUCGAUGAAGGACGCAGCGAAAUGCGAUACGUAAUGUGAAUUGCAGAAUUCAGUGAAUCAUCGAAUCUUUGAACGCACCUUGCGCCCCUUGGUAUUCCGAAGGGCACACCCGUUU
rnacentral:rRNA from 1 species